AGAGUUUGAUCAUGGCUCAGGACGAACGCUGGCGGCGUGCCUAAUACAUGCAAGUAGAACGCUGAAGAGAGGAGCUUGCUCUUCUUGGAUGAGUUGCGAACGGGUGAGUAACGCGUAGGUAACCUGCCUUGUAGCGGGGGAUAACUAUUGGAAACGAUAGCUAAUACCGCAUAACAAUGGAUGACACAUGUCAUUUAUUUGAAAGGGGCAAUUGUUCCACUACAAGAUGGACCUGCGUUGUAUUAGCUAGUAGGUGAGGUAAUGGCUCACCUAGGCGACGAUACAUAGCCGACCUGAGAGGGUGAUCGGCCACACUGGGACUGAGACACGGCCCAGACUCCUACGGGAGGCAGCAGUAGGGAAUCUUCGGCAAUGGGGGCAACCCUGACCGAGCAACGCCGCGUGAGUGAAGAAGGUUUUCGGAUCGUAAAGCUCUGUUGUAAGUCAAGAACGGGUGUGAGAGUGGAAAGUUCACACUGUGACGGUAGCUUACCAGAAAGGGACGGCUAACUACGUGCCAGCAGCCGCGGUAAUACGUAGGUCCCGAGCGUUGUCCGGAUUUAUUGGGCGUAAAGCGAGCGCAGGCGGUUUGAUAAGUCUGAAGUUAAAGGCUGUGGCUCAACCAUAGUUCGCUUUGGAAACUGUCAAACUUGAGUGCAGAAGGGGAGAGUGGAAUUCCAUGUGUAGCGGUGAAAUGCGUAGAUAUAUGGAGGAACACCGGUGGCGAAAGCGGCUCUCUGGUCUGUAACCGACGCUGAGGCUCGAAAGCGUGGGGAGCGAACAGGAUUAGAUACCCUGGUAGUCCACGCCGUAAACGAUGAGUGCUAGGUGUUGGAUCCUUUCCGGGAUUCAGUGCCGCAGCUAACGCAUUAAGCACUCCGCCUGGGGAGUACGACCGCAAGGUUGAAACUCAAAGGAAUUGACGGGGGCCCGCACAAGCGGUGGAGCAUGUGGUUUAAUUCGAAGCAACGCGAAGAACCUUACCAGGUCUUGACAUCCCGAUGCUAUUUCUAGAGAUAGAAAGUUACUUCGGUACAUCGGUGACAGGUGGUGCAUGGUUGUCGUCAGCUCGUGUCGUGAGAUGUUGGGUUAAGUCCCGCAACGAGCGCAACCCCUAUUGUUAGUUGCCAUCAUUCAGUUGGGCACUCUAGCGAGACUGCCGGUAAUAAACCGGAGGAAGGUGGGGAUGACGUCAAAUCAUCAUGCCCCUUAUGACCUGGGCUACACACGUGCUACAAUGGUUGGUACAACGAGUUGCGAGUCGGUGACGGCGAGCUAAUCUCUUAAAGCCAAUCUCAGUUCGGAUUGUAGGCUGCAACUCGCCUACAUGAAGUCGGAAUCGCUAGUAAUCGCGGAUCAGCACGCCGCGGUGAAUACGUUCCCGGGCCUUGUACACACCGCCCGUCACACCACGAGAGUUUGUAACACCCGAAGUCGGUGAGGUAACCUUUUGGAGCCAGCCGCCUAAGGUGGGACAGAUGAUUGGGGUGAAGUCGUAACAAGGUA
rnacentral:rRNA from 1 species